GGGGAACGUCGGCUGCCUGCCCCUGGGAGCAGCUCCAUGGGUGUUCCCGGCCCUGCCCUCAGGUGAGCUCGCUCAGGUGACCCGUCCCGUGCCAACAGGGGUGGGAGACAGGAGCUGCCCCCGGGGCUGGGCUUGAGAGGGCACGGUGGGAUUUGCUCUCCAGCCUUUCCCCUCUUUGGGGACAUGUUUUGGGGGGCUCUUCAUCUGCUUAGCUGCUAAUUUGCAGGAGGGGGGAAAAAAAUGUGUCAAAAUCUGUGACUGAAAAGGUCCGUAAUGAUUUAAGGCUGCUGGGGAAGGGUGGAGAGGAGGCGGCUGGAUGAGAGGAGCAGGCGCUGCCUUCUUCAUGCAGCAAACCAAAAAGCUAAAAACAGCUUUUCUCAAAAAAAAAAAAAAAAAAAAAAAAAAAAAUAAAAAAAAAAAAAAUUGCUGUCCAAGUGCAGCGGAGUUUUCAUCCAUGAACCGUAAACGUGGACCGCAGAGAGGGAUGACGCUGGAAAGCCGUCCAGCUUUCCUGACCUAUUUGCGUCUCAUUCCAGCACGCCGCAGGGACAGCGCAAGGCCGGGAAUCGCCCCGCGACUGCCUCCAGCGCCUCCAUCCCCCCUUCCAUGCCGCCUUAACACCGCGGCCCCGUCCCCGCGGGAGGGCGGAGCGGCGCCGAGGCCCGGCCCUGCCGGCAGCCCGGGGCGGGACGUGCGGCACCGCACGGCUCGGGCUCGGCCGCCGCCGAGCGGGCUCAGUCGCAGCGGGCGGACCGCGAAACCUGCGGCCCCGGGGCUUGCGUGAGGGCCGGGCUGAGGGCCCGGCGGUCGCCGCCUCCCCUUCGUCGAGGCUCCGCCCGCCCUCGCUGUCCCCUUCGCCCUUCUGCGGGCUGGCAGAUGCACGUAGGCGACCGUCUCCGUCCUUUGCUUUGCCCUCCGCUUCUUGAAAUGCCGGCGGGCAGCCGGGUCCUGGGAGCUGCCUCGGGUUAGCAGCGCAGAUCGGAGGCGUCGCGUGAAACACUUCCCAGGGAUCCUGAUGUGUCUCUUUCAACUUGCCGCUAGAAGGUUGAUUUCUCAAGCGCAUUGUGGACUUAAGGCCGCGUCUUCAAAGAAACAGAAGUUUUGCGUGGAAAUGGCCCGUCCUAGUUCAAACAUGGCUGAUUUCCGAGAGGUGUUUGCCAAAGCCAAGCACAUUGCCAUCAUCACCGGAGCCGGUGUCAGUGCCGAGAGCGGCGUCCCCACCUUCAGAGGGGCUGGAGGCUUCUGGAGAAAGUGGCAAGCCCAGGAGCUGGCUACUCCAGGGGCUUUUGCACGCAACCCUUCCCGUGUGUGGGAAUUCUACCAUUACCGGCGGGAAUUGAUGCUGAGCAAACAUCCCAAUCCAGCCCACAUCGCCAUUGCGGAGUGCGAGAAGCGUCUGAGCAAGCAAGGAAGGAGCGUUGUGGUCAUCACUCAGAACAUUGAUGAGCUGCACAGGAAGGCAGGCACCAAGCACCUCUUAGAAAUUCACGGUAGUUUAUUUAAAACUCGGUGCACCAGCUGUGGAAACGUUGCUGCAAAUUACAAGAGCCCAAUCUGCCCCGCAUUGGCUGGGAAGGGGGCUCCAGAUCCUGACACAGAAGAUGCUGCAAUUCCAGUUGAAGACCUUCCUCAGUGUGAGGAGGAUGGCUGCAAUGGGCUCCUGCGGCCCCACGUCGUGUGGUUUGGCGAGGCCCUGGAUCCCGGUGUGCUCACGGCGGUGGAGAAGGAGCUGGAUAUUUGUGACCUCUGCUUGGUUGUCGGGACCUCGUCCGUGGUGUAUCCUGCGGCCAUGUUCGCCCCACAGGUCUCGGCCAGAGGCGUCCCAGUUGCGGAGUUCAACAUGGAACCCACUCCUGCCACCAACAGGUUCAGGUAACACUGCUCAGGCAAACAGGCUUUAGUGCCCUCCAUCCUGCCCUCUGCGUCCAGCUGCUGAAACGCUGGGUUUGCACAAAUGCGGUCUAGCUUUACCCCCCAAACCCUUUCGAAAUAUUAAGUUUCUGUUUGUAAGAAAAGAGGAUUCUUCUUCUGUGGUUGGAUUUUCACUGAAGACACAAACCGUAUGGUGUAAAGGGUUCCACUUCCCGGGCCCCUGCGGGACCACGCUACCGCCGGCGCUGGCGCGACACGAGACGGAGAUCAUCUCCUGAGCCCCGGGAUUACCUCGGGAGCGGCCCGGC